GCUCCUGUCGUCUAGCCCGGUCAAGGAUCCAGCCCUUUCAAGGCUGUGACACGAGUUCAAAUCUCGUCAGGAGCA
rnacentral:tRNA from 1 species